rnacentral:misc_RNA from 1 species
UGGCCUGAUCCAGUACUGCGCUUCCAAACCACGACAUCUUCUGGGUCAAAGUGAAGCCCAUAGUGAUCAAUCCAAUUGAUCGGCGCCCAUACUAACAGGUCAUCGAAAUUAACAUGGGAUUCAAGUCAUGUACAGUUACACGCAAAGCAUUGCCAGUCACACUAUAACAUUUUGUUUGCUAAGCCUUAGGCACGUUUUGUGCAAGCUUGUCAUCCAGUGCAACAGGAGAUUCAUUAAUGACAAGAUUUUAUAUGCAUAACGCUGUUCUAUACAAAUUCCAAAUAUACUAAGAAAAGUUAAAAGAGAAGAAGAAACAUACACGUUAAAUGAACAACUAUAUGUGAAGACUUAUUUCAUAAUUACAGGUUCCACAAACGCAAAUGCACAAACGUGAAUGAAUAACGUAACCCGCACCAAUUCCCUAUCGUGCAAGAUAACCAACCACUUACUAUAAACAUUUUCAGAAUUGGUACCCUAAUCUCUUCUCCAUCCAACUGAUAAUGUCCUGUCCAAUCUCUUCGCGUUCUGGCUCAAAGAGAAGGUCAUGCAAGAAGCCAUCAUAGAGCUUUAUGUCUUUGAACAUAGAGGCUGCCUCAUUGUACAAAUCCUGGGAUGCUAGUGGAUCUGUCACUUUGUCAGCAGUUCCAUGGAGAACAAAGAAUGGGACAGUCACGAACUUGAAGUUACGCAUCAAGUAUGAGGAUAUACGCAAUAUCUCAUGGCCUGUUCGGACCCUUAUGGGCCCCGUAUAUACCAAUGGAUCAGAGUACUUGGCCAGAAGUGCAACAGGAUCCCUGGAAACUGGAAUGCCCCUUUUGUUUGCUCCUUUAAAUUGGAACCGUGGGACAAUCAGAGAAAAAAUAGGAGCCACAGCCCCGACAAUAGGAUGGGCUGGCUUAACACGCAAAGCUGGCGAGGUCAGGACAAUCCCCUCCAACAUCUCUUCAAUGCGAGGACACGUGGCUGCCUUUAAAACCACAGCCCCUCCGGUUGAGUGACCAAAAAGGAAGCAUCGUACCCCAGGGUGCUCUGAAUUGAUCUUUUCCAAGAAAGCCCCAGUGUCUGCUACGACAUGGUCUAGCGAAGGAACAUAUCCAUGCAGUCCAUCACUCCCGCCGUGACCUAUCCAAUCCAUUGCAUAGACUCCAAAGUUGCAUGAGGUAAGCUGCUUAGCAAAUUGACCAUACCUUCCACUGAAAAUGAAAAACAGAAAAAUAAAUGUUAAAAAUGUUUAAAAAAUAGAGUUAACCAUGGAUAGGCUUCAGAAGAUACAUUUCUGAUAAUCAAGUAAUUCUGAGAACUGACAGCUACUACUUAACCCGUUAAAUAUGAUGGUCAAAUUCAAUCUGCAAAAGAAAUCUCCAGUACGUAUGAAAAUGAAAUAUUAAUAUUACCUGUGCUCAUUAAGCCCAUGAAUAAUGAUCAAAAUGCCCCUGAAAUCACAAAGCAGUUGCCCUGAGGCCUCAGUACCGAAUUAAGAGAAGCAAUAACAACAUAGCACAAACUCAGAAAGUAAAACUAUACAUGAUAAAGAUGUGAGGAAGGAAAAGCACAAAAAUCAAAGCGAAGCAGCACCAUCCCUUUAUCCUUUCAUUUCAUUACUCUAUCCUUUCAUUUCAUGUAAUGCCUGGCGUGCCAGUACAUCAUUAGAGAACAAAAAUAUUUUCCAUUACUAAGUAACAACAUACAUUAUUUGCAGGAAGAACAGUAACAUAUGUGUUGUACAGUGUACAUACACGUAGGGGAAAAAAAAAAAAAAGUAUCAACUCGAGUUAAUUUCAAAACGAACGCUCAGACGAGAUCAUUUUUGGUAAAAUUGGCAAGAGGAAAAAUCAUAACACCAAAAAUGUGUCCAAGGCAUGACUGAGACAAGGUUGUUAGAAAUGAAUAAAGAAAUUCGACCCUUUUAGUUUAUACAUCUAUCAAAGCAAACCCAAUUCGGAAUUUAAACACCAAGAAUCUCAACGUAGUCGGAAAAUUAGAGAAUUUGUUCUAUUUCAUUUAAUAGCUAGCUGUAUCCUAUAAGCAGUAAUAAUUAACUCAAAAUCAAACCAUAAAAAAAGACAAUCAAAAGGCAACUUUUGAGAACUAAAAAAAUGAGAUUAAUUUUUCUGCACUAUAAUCCAAAGCCGCAAGCUAACUGCGGACGCCAUCUUGAAUUCAAAUGGUUACGUAAUUUGCGUUAGUUCAACGAGCUAGGCCACAAAAAAAUCUAAUCAAAUUCAAUUGAGUGGAAGCUAGCUCUCUCAAGACCUGAACACAAUCGAGUAUAAUACGAAAAAGGAUAAAAUCGAAGGGCCAUUUCCUGGUCAAGCCACCCAAAAAAUCCACCACCACCACACGAAACCAUCUAAACACAAGCACGUUUUUCUCAACAAAAG